UCUCUCCCUCCGUACGGCAGCGCCUCCUCUCUGUGUGUGUGUCCAUGUUGCAGUCAUUUGCCUGCCAAGCUUCUGGCUUCCCAGACGCAACAAUACAAACAAAUCCUGACAGGCGCGACGACGGGCAGC
ensembl:ncRNA F49E10.26 ncRNA